rnacentral:misc_RNA from 1 species
UCAACCCUCAAGCCCCCGGCUUGGUGUUGGAGGCCUCGGUGGUUCGUCCGAACCACCCCUCCUAAAGACAACGACGGCGGCGACGAGCGUCCCCGGUACACUGAGCUUCUAACCGAGCACGUACUGGACGGGCCUCGUCUCCCCGGUCUGCCUCCCCUCUGGGAGAAUUUUUCUAA